GAUGAACGCUGGCGGCGUGCCUAAUACAUGCAAGUCGAGCGAACGGACGAGAAGCUUGCUUCUCUGAUGUUAGCGGCGGACGGGUGAGUAACACGUGGAUAACCUACCUAUAAGACUGGGAUAACUUCGGGAAACCGUAGCUAAUACCGGAUAAUAUUUUGAACCGCAUGGUUCAAAAGUGAAAGACGGUCUUGCUGUCACUUAUAGAUGGAUCCGCGCUGCAUUAGAUAGUUGGUAAGGUAACGGCUUACCAAGGCAACGAUGCAUAGCCGACCUGAGAGGGUGAUCGGCCACACUGGAACUGAGACACGGACCAGACUCCUACGGGAGGCAGCAGUAGGGAAUCUUCCGCAAUGGGCGAAAGCGUGACGGAGAAACGCCGCGUGAGUGAUGAAGGUCUUCGGAUCGUAAAACUCUGUUAUUAGGGAAGAACAUAUGUGUAAGUACCUGUGCACAUCUUGACGGUACCUAAUCAGAAAGCCACGGCUAACUACGUG
rnacentral:rRNA from 1 species